rnacentral:lncRNA from 1 species
GGAACCAAGGUCAGUGUGGGCUUCUCACUCAAAGUAGGUCAGCUAAUCUCUGAGGAGGACAUGCUUUCCUGCCUCCCACAGCCAGCGUCCCGGGAGAACUCCACCCUCAUUUUUCAAGGCCUCACGAUUAGCUACAGAAAGGAGCUUUUGCAGUUGGAUUCUGUUGGUUUGGUUUUCUGUUUUGAAAGAAGACUCAGUCUGCUGCUGAGAAUGACCUUGAACUUCUGACCCUCCCGCAUCUACCUCCCAAGAGCUAGGAUUACAGAGGGUCUUGUUUCUCACAUCCCUUUUGCCAUCGCUCCCUACAUCUGACCAGAUUGACUAGGAUUUGGAGUUCUUAUAACUGCCUCAGUUCUGAUGAGCCAUUACGACAGUCACAGAAAACACUAUCCCUGUGGUCAGUUUUCUUGUUGCGGACAAAACGCAGGAAGUUACUGGAAGAGGAAUACAGUCAAAACCUACCGUGCCUGUCUGGGAAAAGAUAUUCUUAAAUAAAAGAAGGACAAAGAAAGCACUUCAGACAAGACUUACAUUAAAAGAACAAAUUGUUUAAAAGAAAAUAAGGG